rnacentral:rRNA from 1 species
GAUGGAUGAGAUAUAAGCUGUCUUGAUAAUAUUUAAUUGAAUUUAAUUUUUUAUUUAAAAAGUUAAAAUAAUUUAAAAAGACGAGAAGACCCUAUAGAGUUUUAUAUUAAAUUAAAUUAAAAUUAUUUAUAUAAUUAUUAAUAUAGAUUUAAUUUUAGUAUUUUGUUGGGGUGACAAAAAAAUAAAUAAAACUUUUUUUAUUAUUUACAUAAAUAAAUGAAUUUUUGAUCCAAUUUUAUUGAUUAAAAGAAAAAAUUACCUUAGGGAUAACAGCGUAAUUUUUUUUUUUUAGUUCUUAUAAAAAAAAAAGUUUGCGACCUCGAUGUUGGAUCAGGGACAAA